UACGUAGGGGGCAAGCGUUGUCCGGAUUUAUUGGGCGUAAAGAGCGUGUAGGCGGCUUUACAGGUCCGUUGUGAAAACUCGAGGCUCAACCUCGAGACGCCGGUGGAAACCGUAAGGCUAGAGUCCGGAAGAGGAGAGUGGAAUUCCUGGUGCAGCGGUGAAAUGCGCAGAUAUCAGGAGGAACACCCGUGGCGAAAGCGGCUCUCUGGGACGGUACUGACGCUGAGACGCGAAAGCGUGGGGAGCAAACAGG
rnacentral:rRNA from 1 species